rnacentral:rRNA from 2 species
ACUAAGCGUACACGGUGGAUGCCCUGGCAGUCAGAGGCGAUGAAGGACGUGCUAAUCUGCGAUAAGCGUCGGUAAGGUGAUAUGAACCGUUAUAACCGGCGAUUUCCGAAUGGGGAAACCCAGUGUGUUUCGACACACUAUCAUUAACUGAAUCCAUAGGUUAAUGAGGCGAACCGGGGGAACUGAAACAUCUAAGUACCCCGAGGAAAAGAAAUCAACCGAGAUUCCCCCAGUAGCGGCGAGCGAACGGGGAGCAGCCCAGAGCCUGAAUCAGUGUGUGUGUUAGUGGAAGCGUCUGGAAAGGCGCGCGAUACAGGGUGACAGCCCCGUACACAAAAAUGCACAUGCUGUGAGCUCGAUGAGUAGGGCGGGACACGUGGUAUCCUGUCUGAAUAUGGGGGGACCAUCCUCCAAGGCUAAAUACUCCUGACUGACCGAUAGUGAACCAGUACCGUGAGGGAAAGGCGAAAAGAACCCCGGCGAGGGGAGUGAAAAAGAACCUGAAACCGUGUACGUACAAGCAGUGGGAGCACGCUUAGGCGUGUGACUGCGUACCUUUUGUAUAAUGGGUCAGCGACUUAUAUUCUGUAGCAAGGUUAACCGAAUAGGGGAGCCGAAGGGAAACCGAGUCUUAACUGGGCGUUAAGUUGCAGGGUAUAGACCCGAAACCCGGUGAUCUAGCCAUGGGCAGGUUGAAGGUUGGGUAACACUAACUGGAGGACCGAACCGACUAAUGUUGAAAAAUUAGCGGAUGACUUGUGGCUGGGGGUGAAAGGCCAAUCAAACCGGGAGAUAGCUGGUUCUCCCCGAAAGCUAUUUAGGUAGCGCCUCGUGAAUUCAUCUCCGGGGGUAGAGCACUGUUUCGGCAAGGGGGUCAUCCCGACUUACCAACCCGAUGCAAACUGCGAAUACCGGAGAAUGUUAUCACGGGAGACACACGGCGGGUGCUAACGUCCGUCGUGAAGAGGGAAACAACCCAGACCGCCAGCUAAGGUCCCAAAGUCAUGGUUAAGUGGGAAACGAUGUGGGAAGGCCCAGACAGCCAGGAUGUUGGCUUAGAAGCAGCCAUCAUUUAAAGAAAGCGUAAUAGCUCACUGGUCGAGUCGGCCUGCGCGGAAGAUGUAACGGGGCUAAACCAUGCACCGAAGCUGCGGCAGCGACGCUUAUGCGUUGUUGGGUAGGGGAGCGUUCUGUAAGCCUGCGAAGGUGUGCUGUGAGGCAUGCUGGAGGUAUCAGAAGUGCGAAUGCUGACAUAAGUAACGAUAAAGCGGGUGAAAAGCCCGCUCGCCGGAAGACCAAGGGUUCCUGUCCAACGUUAAUCGGGGCAGGGUGAGUCGACCCCUAAGGCGAGGCCGAAAGGCGUAGUCGAUGGGAAACAGGUUAAUAUUCCUGUACUUGGUGUUACUGCGAAGGGGGGACGGAGAAGGCUAUGUUGGCCGGGCGACGGUUGUCCCGGUUUAAGCGUGUAGGCUGGUUUUCCAGGCAAAUCCGGAAAAUCAAGGCUGAGGCGUGAUGACGAGGCACUACGGUGCUGAAGCAACAAAUGCCCUGCUUCCAGGAAAAGCCUCUAAGCAUCAGGUAACAUCAAAUCGUACCCCAAACCGACACAGGUGGUCAGGUAGAGAAUACCAAGGCGCUUGAGAGAACUCGGGUGAAGGAACUAGGCAAAAUGGUGCCGUAACUUCGGGAGAAGGCACGCUGAUAUGUAGGUGAAGUCCCUCGCGGAUGGAGCUGAAAUCAGUCGAAGAUACCAGCUGGCUGCAACUGUUUAUUAAAAACACAGCACUGUGCAAACACGAAAGUGGACGUAUACGGUGUGACGCCUGCCCGGUGCCGGAAGGUUAAUUGAUGGGGUUAGCGCAAGCGAAGCUCUUGAUCGAAGCCCCGGUAAACGGCGGCCGUAACUAUAACGGUCCUAAGGUAGCGAAAUUCCUUGUCGGGUAAGUUCCGACCUGCACGAAUGGCGUAAUGAUGGCCAGGCUGUCUCCACCCGAGACUCAGUGAAAUUGAACUCGCUGUGAAGAUGCAGUGUACCCGCGGCAAGACGGAAAGACCCCGUGAACCUUUACUAUAGCUUGACACUGAACAUUGAGCCUUGAUGUGUAGGAUAGGUGGGAGGCUUUGAAGUGUGGACGCCAGUCUGCAUGGAGCCGACCUUGAAAUACCACCCUUUAAUGUUUGAUGUUCUAACGUUGACCCGUGAUCCGGGUUGCGGACAGUGUCUGGUGGGUAGUUUGACUGGGGCGGUCUCCUCCUAAAGAGUAACGGAGGAGCACGAAGGUUGGCUAAUCCUGGUCGGACAUCAGGAGGUUAGUGCAAUGGCAUAAGCCAGCUUGACUGCGAGCGUGACGGCGCGAGCAGGUGCGAAAGCAGGUCAUAGUGAUCCGGUGGUUCUGAAUGGAAGGGCCAUCGCUCAACGGAUAAAAGGUACUCCGGGGAUAACAGGCUGAUACCGCCCAAGAGUUCAUAUCGACGGCGGUGUUUGGCACCUCGAUGUCGGCUCAUCACAUCCUGGGGCUGAAGUAGGUCCCAAGGGUAUGGCUGUUCGCCAUUUAAAGUGGUACGCGAGCUGGGUUUAGAACGUCGUGAGACAGUUCGGUCCCUAUCUGCCGUGGGCGCUGGAGAACUGAGGGGGGCUGCUCCUAGUACGAGAGGACCGGAGUGGACGCAUCACUGGUGUUCGGGUUGUCAUGCCAAUGGCACUGCCCGGUAGCUAAAUGCGGAAGAGAUAAGUGCUGAAAGCAUCUAAGCACGAAACUUGCCCCGAGAUGAGUUCUCCCUGACUCCUUGAGAGUCCUGAAGGAACGUUGAAGACGACGACGUUGAUAGGCCGGGUGUGUAAGCGCAGCGAUGCGUUGAGCUAACCGGUACUAAUGAACCGUGAGGCUUAACC